CCUACGGGAGGCAGCAGUGAGGAAUAUUGGUCAAUGGCCGCAGGGCUGAACCAGCCAAGUCGCGUGAGGGAUGACGGUCCUAUGGAUUGUAAACCUCUUUUGUCAGGGAGCAAAGGGCGCCACGUGUGGCGCUUUGCGAGUACCUGAAGAAAAAGCAUCGGCUAACUCCGUGCCAGCAGCCGCGGUAAUACGGAGGAUGCGAGCGUUAUCCGGAUUUAUUGGGUUUAAAGGGUGCGCAGGCGGAAUGUCAAGUCAGCGGUAAAAUUUCGGGGCUAAACCCCGUCGUGCCGUGGAAACUGGGGUUCUUGAGUGGGCGAGAAGUAUGCGGAAUGCGUGGUGUAGCGGUGAAAUGCAUAGAUAUCACGCAGAACUCCGAUUGCGAAGGCAGCAUACCGGCGCUCAACUGACGCUCAUGCACGAAAGCGUGGGUAUCGAACAGGAUUAGAUACCCGGGUAGUC
rnacentral:rRNA from 1 species